UACGGAGGGUCCAGGCGUUAUCCGGAUUUAUUAGGUUUAAAGGGUGCGCAGGCGGUUGUUUAAGUCAGUGGUGAAAGUUUGCAGCUUAACUGUAAAAUUGCCAUUGAUACUGAAUGACUUGAAUGUGGUAGAGGUAGGCGGAAUGUGUAGUGUAGCGGUGAAAUGCUUAGAUAUUACACAGAACACCGAUUGCGAAGGCAGCUUACUAUGCCAUGAUUGACGCUGAGGCACGAAAGCGUGGGGAGCGAACAGG
rnacentral:rRNA from 1 species